rnacentral:sRNA from 1 species
AUUCCGAAUCAAUCGCCAAUCGGAUCCGAAACGUCAAUUCACUAUUGAUCAGGAUGGAACACUUCGUGUUGCUCACACACUUGAUCGAGAGGAUAUUGCCGUUUAUAAUUUGAUUAUAGAAGCCUAUGAUAAUUGUGAGCAUUAUUUUUUGCUCCAAAAUUUGGAAAAUUUGACCCAAAAACGGGGUUUUUCCAAAAACAAAAACUCACUGAAAUUGUUCAAAAAUUGACGAAAAUUUGGCCCAAAAACGGGCGUUUUUGAGAUUUUUCAAUAGUUUUGCAAAAAAAAAUGACAAAAUUUGACACAAAAAUCAUAUUUUUUGGAAUUUUUUCAAAAUUGUGCGGAAAUUUAGAAAAUUUGGGCCAAAACAACGUUUUUACAAAAAGUUCUAGAUUUUGGAGAAAUUUCAGCCAAAAAAUGUUUCAAAACUGCAAAUUUAAAAAUGUUGCGAAAUUUGUUCCAAAAAACUGCAUUUUUUCGAAUUUUGCCAAAAUUUUGGUGAAAUUGCUUCAAAUUUUUGAAAAUUCGGCAAAAUUUGAUCAAAACAGCAUUUUUUAGAAGCUUUUUAAAUUUUUUCAUUGAAAAUGCUCCAAAAUUGUGAAUUUUUUCCCAAAAUUGACGAAAUUAGUUCCAAAAAAUGCAAUUUUUUACGAUUUUCCACUUAAAAAUGACUAAUUUUCUAUAAUUUUUCAGCCAACAAUAUUGGGCGUCAAAUGGUUGCCGUCUACCUUCAGGAUGUGAAUGAUAAUGGACCCGAACCGUAUACCGUACCGAGACCAUGUAUUUUCCGCGAAAAUACUCCUGUAAAUCAACUCGGAACUUGUGAAAUUCGCGCCACGGAUAGAGAUACUGCGUGGGUUUUUUUUGGAAAUUUAAAUUUGGCCAAAAUUGACCUAAAAAUCUGGAUUUUUGAGCAAAAAUGGAGAAAAAUGUGUCAUUUUUGGGCAAAAUUGACCAAAAAUUGGCCGAAAAUUGCUUGCAAUUAGCCUAAAUUGUGAAUUUUGGUCAAAUGUGAAAAAUUGCCAAAAAUUUGUGAUUGACAAAAAAAACGGCGAAUUUUUUAAAAAAGUGCGAAAUUUUCCAAAAAAUUUCGAUGUUUUUCAAAAAGAAUGUGACUUUUUCGAUAAAAAUGUGACUUUUUCGAUAAAAAUGUGACUUUUUCGAUAAAAAUGUGAAUUUUUCGAUAAAAAUGUGAAUUUUUUCAAAAAACUGACAAUUUUUCAAAAAAAUGUGAAUUUUUUUUUAAACGCGUAUUUUCCAAAAAAAAGCGAUUUUUUCUAUAAAAAUCUCGAUUUUUUUCAAAAAAGUGCAAUUUUCCACAAAAAUCUGUGAAUUUUUCGAAAAACUGCGUAUUUUUCAAAAAAAGAAGCCUUUUUUUUUUCGAAAAACGUCGAAUUUUUUGAAAAAGAAACGGUGAAAUUUCAAAAAAAAAAUUUAUUUAUUGAAAAUAAAACGAAUUUUUAGAAAAAGUGCAAAUUUAAAAAAAAACGGCGAAUUUUUGCCCAAAAAAUCCUAAUUUUUGAGGCUCCCAGACUACAAACUACACGUUUUUUCCCAACAAAAAAAUCCCCAAAUUUUUCAGUGAAUUUGGACCCCCAUUCACGAUGGAAGUAUCGCCCAGCUUCAAAUAUAGUCAAUAUUUGAAUGUUAUAUUCAAUGCGAACGGAGACGGUGGAAAUGGAUCAAUGACCAUUACACCACUUCAAGAAUUUGACCGUGAAGCCCCAGUUCCUGGAAAAAUUUUGGAAAUUCCAUUGAUUUUGGCGGAUCGUGCCGGCCGACGUAACGAGGCUUCGGUUCAUGUGAUUAUUGGAGAUUUGG